CCGCCCCCGCGCCCCGCCGCCCGCCGCCGCCGCCAUCUUCGCCGCGCGUGCUGAGGGAUGACUCGCCCUGUUCUCCCCGGCUCGGUGCGGCCGAGGACACAGCCAGCUCAGCGCCGCACGGGAGGCUUCUCUGCAAAUCCGUGGCAAGGCUGGCAGUUAAUCCAUUUUGGUUAAGGAACGUGAAAUGCCAAACAAAAGCCUCACGAGAAGGGUGUGUUGUGCAGUCAUCGCUCAGACCCCAUAAAAUCACGUUAAUUGUAGUUGAGAGUGACACAAAGCUUUCAGCUGGGCAUCUUCAACAGCAACGACUUCAAGGCAUCAAUGCUGCAGAGACCCACAAUACUCAAAAAGACCCAAAUCCUCACUUUCUGCAGCUCGGUUUUCCCUGCUGCUCCUGCGUGUGCAAACAAUGGUUUUGUCCCCUUGGAAGUUCCCAGCAGGUUGCUGUGCAAAUUCGUUUAAUUCCUCUGGGUACAGGCACAAGAGGCUGCUGCCACUUGCAUAACCCGAGACAACAAACAAUAGAGGUGGAAAUCCAGCAGAGGCAGGUGUGAAACCUGCCCCCCGAGCUGCCUGCAGUGAAAGCAAGAGCUCUGUGCCACAACCUGCUGAAGCACCCUCGUUAUCCCACGGGAGGCAUUUGGCUCCCUGUGCACCUUGACAGAGACAAUAUUGCCCUCCUUACACUGCUAAAGGAUUAAGCAAUGCGUGAGAAUUAUCCAGCUAACGCUGAAAUUGUAUCCAGAUUAUUAAAAAAUUAAUCCUCCUGUUAGAACAGGGAGAAAGGUAAUGAACACGAGGAGCAGCCCAGGCCCAGUGUGGUGGAUUAGGGAAUGGCUGCACAGCUGAAUGUGCCAAUGUGCUGGAGAUAAGGGAGUGCUGCUGCCAGGGCCCGGCAGGGUGUGAGAGCAGACAAACUGGGUAGCUCCUCUCGGUGCCUCACACCCUCCUUUAUCAGCAAAGGGAAGCACAUAUUUGCAGAGCUUCCCCCACAGAAUCAUUCUUUCCCUUCCUUGAGUCUCGUUCUUCCUCCUCCUUGUCCAGGUCCUGUCUAGUUCAAGUCCAGCCUGGCCUAUCCCCUUGCUCUGUGCUGCUGCCUGCAGUGCCCUGAGGCAGCUCGGGUUGCUGCAAGGUGACCUGUCCUGCAUUACCUGGCUGUGCUGCUCAGCCUGUGAUCCCCCCCAGCUAAAGCUGAGCUCUCCAUGCCUCAAUGCCGAGUUUGCCAGGGCUGGAAGGGUUCUCUCUCUGUGCCACUUUGCCCAGCAGCCACGGCUCAAACGCCGAGGAACAUCGUGAGCUCAGGGCUGACAAACCCAUUUGGCAGAGCACGACUCUGUGCUUCCCUAAGUGCUCCCAAGCCCAGGCACACCAGGAGCUCUUCACACACCUCCAUCCUUGAAAGUCUUUGAAACAGCCUCCCUGGGGAAGUGGUGGAGUCACAAUCCCUUGAAGAGUUCAUAAAAUGAGUAGAUGUGGCACUUUGUGACACAAAUCAGUGGCAUGGGGGUAUUUGGUCAAAGGAUGGGCUUGAUCUCGGAAGUCUUUUCCAGUCUUAAUGGUCCCAUGAUUCUACCCCAGGUCACCCACCCAAGUCUGUCCAGACAGCCAGACAACCUCAUAAUUUCCAUGGUAAUUAGUAACCUUUGAUGAACUCUGUCACUCCUGCACAAGGAUGUUGUGCCCAGAUGAAAAACGGCUCCUGGUUUUCAUUCAGAGGAUCUCUGGGCUCCUUUUGUUAGACAAAAACCCAUCUAUUUUUAAUAAAAUACUUCAGAACUGGUUUUCUCCACUGUUCAGUGUCAGUCUGGAUAGUUCUCCCUGUAAAUCCCUCCCAGCCCAUGCCCUGCUGCCUUACUCAGUGUUAUUCUUGUACCCUGAGAGUCGAUACCCUGCCAAGUGAUAUUUGUUUAAAAUUCCCCAAUGCACAAAUUUGGCACAAAAACUGGACUAAAGGGCAUCCCUCUGGUUACUGCAGCUGGGUGGAAUCUUCCCACCUCAAAGUCCAAGAUCUAUUUACAUCAGCUCACUUAAGCUGCAAAAACAGAAUGAACUCUUCCUGCUAGGCUUGUCCAGACCAAUAAAUGCACUGGGGAGUGCAAAGCAGAAGUGCUGCACAAAGGAAUCAACUGCUGAAGGCACAAGCAGGUUUCCAGUUCGUUUUAAAACUGAUUCACUCAUAGCUGACGUCAAUCCUCCCUCCCAAGUAUCUGAGCCCUGAGAUUGGAGUGUGAUAAAUAUUACCUGUAAUGCCAUCUGCUGUACAGACUGCCCCAGCUCCUCACUAUUUAUUUAAGGGCUAAUCUUGUGCUAGAACAAAAUGCAGUUUAUUUCAGCCUGGUCUGACUUUGUUUGGACUCUAAUUCCAAAUGCCUGUCCACCUGGACUUUUAAAGUGAUCUGUCAUAGGGCAAACCCCAUGUUAGCCCUGAAAAGAUGAAAUUCAAGACAGCACAGUUGGAUUAAAAAGAAAACUAUCAUGAGAAGCAUCACAUGAGACUUCCUACAUGAGGAGUCAAGAGAAGAUGCAGAGUCAGAAGAUCACCAACAGGAAUCACAGAAUGGUUUGGAUCAAAGACUAUCUCAUUCCACCCCCUGCCAUGGGCAGGGACACCUGGGACAUUCCCAGGUUGCUCCAACCUGGCCUUGGACACUUCCAGGGAUGGGGCAGUCACAGCUUCUAUAAUGCUUAAAUGCACAUCAGAACCUUGCUGCUGAAACUGUAAUUGAAACAGUAAUAGAGUAAAUCCCUGAACAUGUUUUUUAAUAAACAGGAAUCUACUGCCUCUCAAA